rnacentral:sRNA from 1 species
AAGGUUCGAUUCGAGCGGAGCGAGAAAGCGUUGCCGCAGGCAACGACCCGAAGGGCGAGGCGCAACGCGCCGAGUAAUCCUUCCCCCAUCACCA